rnacentral:lncRNA from 1 species
ACCACCUCCAUUACCCCAGAGUGGUGAUGCAGAUUCUGUGGAUGUGUCUGCGAUGCCUGCAUCUUUACCUUUACCUCCUCCACCUCCUAUGCCCCCAAAGCCUUUGACAGAGAUGAGCACUUCAUUGCCACUGCCUCCUUUGCCCCCACCACCACCUGGUCCCCCACCAAAGGAACAGGUUGCUGUUCAUCUUCCACUUCCUCCACCUCCCGCACCUCCCCUUCAGCCAUCUUCUCAACCUCCUCCUCCUGGCACUGGUGGAAAUGAAAGGGAUAGAAAUAACCUGGACAAUCCAGCUUCCGUAGACCUAAUGCAGGUAGUCUAGCCUUCUACUUCUUGUCUUCUCACUAACUUACUUAAAAUAUAUGUUUGAGGGAGUUCCUCUUUGGAAUUCAUGAAGAUGUAUAUAAUGUUUAUUUUCUAUUGAUGAUAUCUUCGCUUUUUCAUGGGUCCACUGUGCUUGCUCAGCCUCCUCCUCCACUGGGCUUGCCAUUGAAGUCAGAUGGCACAUCUGUUGAAUCUGAUGCUAAAGCUUCCUCAGAGUCAAAAGAUCAUGUUAGAUUGCCACCGCCACCUCCGCCACCUCCAAGGCAACAGCCUUCAGUUCCUGGAGCUGCCAUGGUCCCGACUUUGCAUAAUGAUGUAUUACCUCCUGGACUUCCUCGGUUCCCUCCACCCCCACCCCCGACCGACAUGCGGCCACCACCUGGAAUUGCCGGCCAUCCUGCUCCACCUGGAGUCAUGCUCUCGCUUAUGCCAAGACCACCUUUCGGACCUCCUCCUGGUCCUCCACCAAUGAUGAGACCACCACUUCCGCCUGGUCCUCCUCCUUAUCUACCAGAUGGUGCCAGACCAUUUGCCACUCAGAAGCCAUCAUAUGUUAAAUCAGCUGCUUCAACCGU